CUCAGAAUCUACAAAUCCUUUGCUGUCUUCUUCCACUGAGACCUGCCUAGGUUUCCCUAGUCUGGUGCCUUGAGAAACCAGAUGCAACAGCAAGCAUGAAUCUUCAUUCUCCUUUGAUCAUGGCCAUAGGAUUCUGUCUCCAACCACUGAUUUCCUCCUCCUUUUCCAGGCUCAAGGAAGAGGACAAACAGAGACUCUGGCAGCUGUCAAAUGUUAGGUAACUGGAAGAGUGGGCCAUGCCCUUGGAGAAGAUCAGGACACGCAGAAGCCUGACCCACAGUUCAGAGGAAAAGUCUUCUCAGCAGAGCAUCCCACCAGCACAGCUGUGUUGCAGGAGCCCAACCAGAGCUCAGCUGUGUUAUUUACCCUACCAGGUCCCAGCUGUCAACCUGGCCUGGCAUCCUGACAGCCUACGGCACAAAUGCCCUUAGCCAGCUGCUUGGCUCGAUGUACAAUUCUCUCUUUUUAAAUGAGAUUAGCGAUGGUGAAAUGUGCUAGCUCAACGGGCGUGCUGAUCCAAGUCCUCUGUUUACUCGGGCUACAGCAGAUACAGAGAUCACUUUUAAAAAAAUCUGCGAUUUUAAAAGAUGCCAUGAAUUCGCCUGAGCUCCUGCAGCUGCUCAUUCAUCACAGGAUGAAGAGGGGUUUAUUACAGAUCCACUGAGAACUGAGGACUGGAAAGGAUGAAUCUUGAAACUGUGUUAUGAAUAACAAUACCAGAUUCUGUCCUGGUGUCCCUGGAUUACCUGGACAUUUUCUUAAGACUUCUCCUUUGACUGCCCUGAAGCAAAUGCAGGCAGAACUGAGGAUCUCAGCCUCUUCUCCAGCACUGGCAGAAGUUAUCCAUUGUCAUCGCUGGUCUGUGAGUGUUUGCAGAAGAAGUAGGGGCAGGAGAGCAAAUUCCAACUUUUCUGUCCUGCAGCAAUCCCCUCGGCAGAUGCAGGGUCCUGGCUGACAUGGAAGUGUCUGCAUAUAGUGUGGUAUUUUCUGGGCAGGGUAAGCCUGGCCACCUGCAAGGACCUGCAAGGCCCUGGACCUCGUCUCUGACAGCAAUCACAGGUAAGUACAUGGGGGAGGACCCUAUCCUCUUGCCUGGGGUGCUCCUACUUUUGUUGCCCCAGCUGCAGACUCUGGAUUAUUUGUGUCAGCCCUAAGAGCCCUGCAGCAAAAUUGUUCACAGCCUUUCAGCAGAGACCACUCCAAACAGUUACACAAACAGUUACACUUUGGAAACAGGUUUGAGAAAGCUUCAUUUUCCCUGAGGCUUGCUUUUCCUUGUAUGCAUCUCAGGUCUAGUUCCAGAGGAAAGGAAACCAUAGCCUAAGUCUUGUGCAGCUAUUUAAGCAGAAAAGGAAUUCUGGAUGUCCUCAGGUUAUGGAGAGCGGGAUGGGGAAAGCUCAGGUGUGAGACAGCUGAUGGACCAUGGACAACAUGGAUGCUGCUGAGGGAGGUCAUGGUAUGAAAUGUGGUAUUCCAAGGGACAAUGUGAAAAGCACCACAGAGGCCAUGGGAACACCAAGAGCUCUUUAAUAAAUAGCCACGCUCAAGGUAAGAUGAGACAAUGCACACAAUGAAAGGAAUUUGAGGUACACUGUAUGAAUUUUGAGCCAAUGUGUUCUGUCUUGGUAUGGUGUCUGGGUUUCCUUCUGCUCCUCUAAACAAUGGCUUCUCUUCAUGUCCUCAAAAUAAAAGAUGAUUUUUAAAGCUGAUGUGUAUUUUACAGCAACAUGCUAGUGAUGAAAAGAGAGAAAAUUACAACAAAUUUAUAGGCAACAUGUUUUAGCAAAUAGAAUUAUGCUAUAUAAAGCAAUAAUGUUUAAAAACCAAUUCAUUACAGGUAAAGUGUAUGACAACAAAUCUUAAUACAACCAAAGAAACAAGAUUGAUAGAGCACAUCUUGUGCCACUAUAGGCAGAGUUCUUGACUUUUAAGGACAGCCUGUUGCAUGUUGCAUACAGGUAUCUGUUACAUGAGCACACAAAAGCUCUGGCUCCAGCUUUCAGGCCCAGCUGCUCAUUGUGGAGCAGACUCCUUCCCUCUGAUGCUGGGGAAGGGGGCAGACAUGAACUGCUCAGACCCUGCUUGUUUCUUGGACGAGCUGAGAGGUGCACAAGAGCAGCUCUUCUUCCCUUGCAGAGGAUUUUCUUGCUUUGUGCCCCCAUCCCUUCCUUCUGGAGGAGCAAUCUGUUCCCUGGAGACACUCACUGCUUGUCCCUCUCAGGCUCCCUCAGUGAGCAGCCUCGUUUCCUCCACAACCACACAGCGGUUUCCUGAGCCACUGGGCGAGGAGCUCUGUUCCUCUAAGAGGAGGAGCAGCAAACAGCUGUGUCUCAAUUGGGGCCAGUCUGCCAAGCACUGCCUGUCUGACCCCCAGCACACCCUCCUCCCCUCCUGGGGUCUUCACUGCUUGGGCGCCGAGCCGGCCUGGCUGGGGGGUGCAGGUGUCACACCUUGAAUCAAACAUUUGGGAAGACACCUGGAGAAGCCUUGGUGAGGAUGGAAUGGCUGUCCUUCUCUCCGGAGGUGCCCUUAGGCUGGGCACUCCCCUCAUGCCCUGCAGCCACUCCGCAGCCGAGCCUGUGGCCGUGCCUGUGCUCCAGACUGGCCACGCACCCGAGAUGGGCCCGGGUCAAGGAAUGCAAGAAGCACACGCAGCUUGUUCACAAAGCCUGCCUGGCACUGGAAACAAAGCACCAUAUGCUCGAGCAGCCGGAGCAAAAGGACGAGCCCAAGGCAAAGGGAGCCGGGAGCAGAAGGGCGAGGGAGGUGCACAGGGGAAGCACCAGGACACCUUGCUUCAUGCUCCCCCACUCCUCCUUAUGGGCACUGAGGGGUGACUCAGAGGUGCCUCCUCUCCUCUCCCCGCAGCUCUGAGAGGGGGCUUUCCCCACUUCUUUUUCUGAUACCCUGCCUCUAGGGGCAGUAGGUGGCUACUCUAUGGGCAUCUUCCCCUUUUUACUGCUUUUGGACACCGUCACCGCCCUCCUCUUUGCCUUACAGCCUCCCCUGCUGUCUUAGCUGCAGGUGAAACCAAUGGCAGGAUCACUAACCUGGACAAGGAGAUGAGGUCCUGUCCAUGUGCCAUGGUCCCAGCACAGAGCACGGCAGGCAAGCUCUGGUGCCACUGUCACUGACACCUGAGGCACCAAGGGUGCCUGCACUGCUGGCCUGUCAUGCUGGGCCUGCUGCAUCCAGGCUCAGACUGGAAAGAUGCAGAGUUUUAAUUAACAGGGAAUCAGCUAGGGCUUUCCUUUUUAAGGAUGCAUAGUGGGGGCUGAUAAAAUUUUGUUUUGGUUUAUUGGCUUUGAAAUGUGUGACUUCCAUGUUUGUCCUAAAUUGUAUGUAUUUGUUAACAUUUCUUCUUUUCCUGGACAACCUCCAGAAAUAUACCUGUAUUAGGAACUGAGAAAAAUAGUUUAUUGACUCAUUUGAAAUAUUUUUAACCAUGUCACUUGUAUUCAAUACUCAGUUUCAUAUAGGGAAAGAAAACAUAAAACCAGGGCUGCAUAAACAUCACCACUACAACACGCUGUGGAAACAAUCUCUGAAGAGCCCCCUGCGUUGUCCAGCUCUUCCUGGAGCUUCUGACCCAAGAAUCACAGGUCAGCCCCAGAACAUCCCAUGUCUUCUUGCUGUCACGCUGGCCUCAUGGAUGAGGGAUACAAAGCCUGCCUUCAGCCCCUGGGAGUCGCUGCAGGUGUCCCAGGGACACUUGUGUGGAACAUCCCCUGUGGGGAGGAAGAACUCAGCAAAUCUCUAAAUCAUCACUUUGGUGCCUGAGAACUUAUAGGCCUUAGAAAAUGAACUUUGUCUGACUCUCCUUUUUUUCCAUUUCAGUGUUUUCCUUCCACCUUACAUUUUACAGUCCUCUCCAAAGCCCAGCCCAGCCUGCAGACCUGCACAGGAUCUUCUGUCCCGCAGAACAGGUUUAGGGAGGUUGUCAUGUGGCAGUUCCACGAUGUACAUAAGUAAGGGAGCUACAAGGACUGCACAUGUCACACAAAACCAAACUAAAUUAUAGGCUGCCUUUCACGGGUUUCUGGUGACUUCAGAAGCACAGCAAGGGCCUCUAUAAUAGUUAUGACUUACUGACAUGGUAUUAUUUCUGUGCAGGAGCAGGACAAUGAAGACACAGGGUGGUUGCACCAUGGAAGCAGUACCAUAGGGAAAGACUUCACCAUUUCCAUGCAGGAAUAAAAGAACAAGGCACACCUUUCUGGGAUGUGUUUUGAUGCAGUAUUUGGUAUUUAGUGCCUGGAUAACAUUACUGACCUUCAGAGCUUUGCUGUACUCAGUAAAGUAGUAUCAAAUAAAAUACAAAGUUCUACA